AUUGAACGCUAGCGGGAGGCUUUACACAUGCAAGUCGAACGAGUGGCGGACGGGUGAGUAAUAUAUGGGAAACUGCCUGAUAGAGGGGGAUAACUACUAGAAAGGGUAGCUAAUACCGCAUACCAGCGGAUGGGCCGAUAUGGGAUUAGCUAGUCGGUGGGGUAAAGGCUCACCGAGGCAACGAUCCGUAGCUGGUCUGAGAGGAGGACCAGCCACACUGGAACUGAGACACGGGCCAGCCUCCUACGGGAGGCAGCAGUGGGGAAUUUUGCACAAUGGGCGCAACCCUGAUCCAGCCAUCCCGCGUGUAUGAUGAAGGCCUUCGGGUUGUAAAGUACUUUUUGCGGGGAGGCGGUAUCCGCAGAAGAAGCACCGGCUAACUCCGUGCCAGCAGCCGCGGUAAUUC
rnacentral:rRNA from 1 species